AGUCAAGUAAUUAAGUGCAUGUGGUGGAUGCCUUGGCAGUCAGAGGCGAUGAAAGACGUGAUAGCCUGCGAAAAGCUCCGGGGAGGCGGCAAAUAUCCUUUGAUCCGGAGAUGUCUGAAUGGGGGAACCCACCUACUUUAAGGUAGGUAUUGCAACAUGAAUACAUAGUGUUGCAAGGCGAACGAGGGGAAGUGAAACAUCUCAGUACCCUUAGGAAAAGAAAUCAAUUGAGAUUCCCUCAGUAGCGGCGAGCGAACGGGGAUCAGCCCAUUAAGUUAUGUGUGUUUUAGUGGAACGCUCUGGGAAGUGCGAACGUAGAGGGUGAUAUUCCCGUACACGAAAGGGCACACAUAAUGAUGACGAGUAGGGCGAGGCACGUGAAACCUUGUCUGAAUAUGGGGGGACCGAUCCUCCAAGGCUAAAUACUCCUGACUGACCGAUAGUGAACCAGUACCGUGAGGGAAAGGCGAAAAGAACCCCUGUGAGGGGAGUGAAAUAGAUCCUGAAACCGCAUGCAUACAAGCAGUGGGAGCACCUUCGUGGUGUGACUGCGUACCUUUUGUAUAAUGGGUCAGCGACUUAUAUUCAGUAGCGAGGUUAACCGUAUAGGGGAGCCGUAGAGAAAUCGAGUCUUAAUAGGGCGUUUAGUUGCUGGGUAUAGACCCGAAACCAGGCGAUCUAUCCAUGAGCAGGUUGAAGGUUGGGUAACACUAACUGGAGGACCGAACCCACUGUCGUUGAAAAGCCAGGGGAUGACUUGUGGAUAGGGGUGAAAGGCUAAUCAAGCCUGGUGAUAGCUGGUUCUCCCCGAAAGCUAUUUAGGUAGCGCCUCGGACGAAUACCAUAGGGGGUAGAGCACUGUUUCGGCUAGGGGGUCAUCCCGACUUACCAAACCGAUGCAAACUCCGAAUACCUAUGAGUACUAUCCGGGAGACAGACUGCGGGUGCUAACGUCCGUAGUCAAGAGGAAAACAAUCCAGACCGCCAGCUAAGGCCCCAAAAUCAUAGUUAAGUGGGAAACGAUGUGGGAAGGCAUAGACAGCUAGGAGGUUGGCUUAGAAGCAGCCACCCUUUAAAGAAAGCGUAAUAGCUCACUAGUCGAGUCGGCCUGCGCGGAAGAUGUAACGGGGCUAAAACUAUGUGCCGAAGCUGCGGAUGUAUACUUUGUAUACGUGGUAGGGGAGCGUUCUGUAAGCCGAUGAAGGUGUGUUGAGAAGCAUGCUGGAGGUAUCAGAAGUGCGAAUGCUGACGUGAGUAACGACAAAACGGGUGAAAAACCCGUUCGCCGAAAGACCAAGGGUUCCAGUCCAACGUUAAUCGGGGCUGGGUGAGUCGACCCCUAAGGCGAGGCCGAAAGGCGUAGUCGAUGGGAAAAUGGUUAAUAUUCCAUUACUUCUGUGUAAUGCGAUGAGAGGACGGAGAAGGCUAAAUCAGCCUGGCGUUGGUUGUCCAGGUGAAAGGAUGUAGGCAUGUAUCUUAGGCAAGUCCGGGGUACUCUAUGCUGAGAUCUGAUAGCAAGCUGUACUUGUACAGCGAAGUGGUUGAUGCCAUGCCUCCAGGAAAAGUCUCUAAGCUUCAGUUACACAGGAAUCGUACCCGAAACCGACACAGGUGGUCAGGUCGAGUAGACCAAGGCGCUUGAGAGAACUCUGCUGAAGGAACUAGGCAAAAUGGUACCGUAACUUCGGGAGAAGGUACGCUGUUGUUGGUGAUGGAACUCGCUUCCUGAGCUGACGACAGCCGCAGAAACCAGGCCGCUGCAACUGUUUAUUAAAAACAUAGCACUCUGCAAACACGAAAGUGGACGUAUAGGGUGUGAUGCCUGCCCGGUGCUGGAAGGUUAAUUGAUGGGGUUAGCGUAAGCGAAGCUCUUGAUCGAAGCCCCAGUAAACGGCGGCCGUAACUAUAACGGUCCUAAGGUAGCGAAAUUCCUUGUCGGGUAAGUUCCGACCUGCACGAAUGGCAUAAUGAUGGCGGCGCUGUCUCCAGCAGAGGCUCAGUGAAAUCGAAAUCGCUGUGAAGAUGCAGUGUACCCGCGGCUAGACGGAAAGACCCCGUGAACCUUUACUGCAGCUUGACACUGAACUUUGACCUUACUUGUGUAGGAUAGGUGGGAGGCUUUGAAGCUGGAACGCUAGUUCCAGUGGAGCCGUCCUUGAAAUACCACCCUGGUAAUGUUGAGGUUCUAACUCUGUCCCGUGAUCCGGGACGAGGACCGUGUCUGGUGGGUAGUUUGACUGGGGCGGUCUCCUCCUAAAGAGUAACGGAGGAGUACGAAGGUGCGCUCAGCGUGGUCGGAAAUCACGCGUAGAGUAUAAAGGCAAAAGCGCGCUUAACUGCGAGACCCACAAGUCGAGCAGGUACGAAAGUAGGUCUUAGUGAUCCGGUGGUUCUGUAUGGAAGGGCCAUCGCUCAACGGAUAAAAGGUACUCUGGGGAUAACAGGCUGAUACCGCCCAAGAGUUCAUAUCGACGGCGGUGUUUGGCACCUCGAUGUCGGCUCAUCUCAUCCUGGGGCUGAAGCAGGUCCCAAGGGUAUGGCUGUUCGCCAUUUAAAGAGGUACGCGAGCUGGGUUUAGAACGUCGUGAGACAGUUCGGUCCCUAUCUACCGUGGGCGCUGGAAAUUUGAGAGGAUCUGCUCCUAGUACGAGAGGACCAGAGUGGACGAACCUCUGGUGUACCGGUUGUGACGCCAGUCGCAUCGCCGGGUAGCUAUGUUCGGAAGGGAUAACCGCUGAAAGCAUCUAAGCGGGAAGCCUACCUCAAGAUAAGAUUUCCCUAGGACUUUAUGUCCUCUAAAGAGCCGUUCGAGACUAGGACGUUGAUAGGUUGGAUGUGGAAGCAUAGUGAUAUGUGAAGCUGACCAAUACUAAUUGCUCGUGAGGCUUGACUAUACAACACCC
rnacentral:rRNA from 1 species